CAAAGACGUGGUCCCAACCUUUAUAUCAGCCUUAACCCAACUUACACAUGCAAGUCUCCGCAACCCCGUGAAAAGACCCUCACCCCCAACCAGCGGAACAGGAGUAGGUAUCAGGAACAAAAUUUAGCCCAAGACGCCUAGCAUGCCACACCCCCAAGGGAACUCAGCAGUGAUAAACAUUAAGCUAUGGGUGAAAACCCGACUUAGUCGAGGUUAAGAGGGCCGGUAAAAUUCGUGCCAGCAACCGCGGUUAAACGAAUAGCCCUAGUUGAUAAUAUACGGCGUAAAGAGUGGUUAGGGGAAUAAAAAUAAAGCCAAAUGGCCCUUUGGUUGUUAUACACUUCUAGGAGCCCGAAAACCAAACACGAAAGUUGCUUUAAUUAAAAUACCUGAUUCCACGAAAGCUGAGAAACAAACUGGGAUUAGAUACCCCACUAUGCUCAGCCAUAAACUAAGACAUAAAUACACACAGAGUCCGCCUAAAUAUUACGAGCAACAGCUUAAAACCCAAAGGACCUGACGGUGCCUUAGACCCCCCUAGAGGAGCCUGUUCUAUAACCGAUAAUCCCCGUUAAACCUCACCACUUCUAGCCAACCCAGUCUAUAUACCACCGUCGUCAGCUUACCCUGUGAAGGAAUAAAAGUAAGCAAAAAGAGUAUUACUCAAUACGUCAGGUCGAGGUGUAGCGAACGAAGUGGGAAGAAAUGGGCUACAUUUUCUAUAGCAGAAUAUUACGAAGAUGCAAUAUGAAAUAUUGCUUAAAGGAGGAUUUAGUAGUAAAAAGGAAAUAGAGUGUCCUUUUGAACCCGGCCCUGAGGCGCGUACACACCGCCCGUCACUCUCCCCAGUCAAUGUUAAAAACUUACUUAACCCCAAAGCACCGACAAGAGGAGGCAAGUCGUAACAAGGUAAGUGUACCGGAAGGUGCACUUGGACAAACC
rnacentral:ncRNA from 1 species